GGCCCCAUCGUCUAGAGGCCUAGGACAGCGGCUUUUCAAGCCGCCAACGCGGGUUCGAAUCCCACUGGGGUCA
rnacentral:tRNA from 1 species